rnacentral:rRNA from 1 species
AACGUAGGACGCAAGCGUUAUCCGGAAUUACUGGGCGUAAAGCGCGUGUAGGUGGUUAGAUAAGUCACUGUUGAAAGCUCCCGGCUAAACUGGGAGAGGUGCGGUGAGACUGUCUGGCUAGAGUAUGGGAGAGGGGUGCGGAAUUCCGGGUGUAGUGGUGAAAUGCGUAGAGAUCCGGAGGAACACCAGUGGCGAAGGCGGCUCACUGGCCCGAUACUGACGCUGAGGCACGAAAGCGUGGGGAGCAAACAGG